UCCGUUAAAAGCAUGUGCCAC
rnacentral:piRNA from 1 species